AAUCUCGUAUUAUAAUUUGUAAAACAAAUCGUUUGUCGUUUUGAUCAUAAUUCGUAGUUACUAGGUUUUUUUGUCUAUCACCUUAUAAUAUGAAACGAAAAGCAAUAGAAUUAUUAUAUUAAAGAAAGCUAUCUAAAAUCUUGCAUCCAUAAUUAUCUAUAAUUAACAGAAACGAUGGUUUUCGAAAAAAUUAAUUACUUGACUAUUACAAAAUAAUGCUAAUUUGUAAUUUAUGUAGUCGUGAUUUUAGUCAUGGUUGACGUUCAUAUUAACAAAUUAAAACUGAAAAAAAUGAUUAUCCGAAAUAAAACCCUAAUUAAAUUAUUUGCUCUCUUAAUUUUCUGUACAAUUUUUCUGUAUGUGUGCAAGUAUAGUUUUAGUAAUAGAUACGAAUUUGUAAGAGGUAAAGACCUUUUGGAACAAGCCAUUCGAGCAGCACAAUUUGGUGGUAUUCAAGUUGAAGCUAUCCACAGUGAACAUUUGAUUAACUCCCAAUCAAAAGGAAAAACUCUUGAAGGUGCAAAUGAUCCAGUUACUAAUGCUGAUUAUACAUCUCAUUGUGCUAUGUAUUAUCUAUUGAAAAAAAAUAUCCCAAACGUAAAAGUUAUAUCAGAGGAAGAAUUAUCUGAAAAAGAAUGCAAAAAGUUAAAUAUUAGAAAAUUAAAAGAUUAUGAUAACGGACAUAUAACAGAUAUUGAAGAAGAAUUUGAGAGGAAAUAUAUAACCAUAUGGAUUGAUCCAUUAGAUGCAACACAAGAAUUUACUGAAAGUCUAACACAAUAUGUAACAACCAUGGUCUGUGUUGCAUAUAAAGGUAAACCUAUAAUGGGUGUUAUACAUGAACCGUUUUCAUCUAAAACAACAUGGGCUUGGCUCUCAAAAUCAAGAUCAAACAAUUUUAACAAUAUCAAGGUUCCUAAAAAAAAAUCAAUUAUCAUUUCAAGAUCACACAAAGGUGAUGUAAUGGGUCUAUUAAAUCAACGGUUAUAUGGUUUACCAGUUGUAACUGCUGGAGGUGCAGGAUUCAAAGUUUUACAAGUGUUAUUUGGAAACUCCUCGGCUUAUAUUCAUACAACUAACAUUAAAAAAUGGGAUAUAUGUGCUGGACAUGCUAUACUAAAAAGUAUAGGAGGUGAAAUGACAUCGUUGGAAAAUGAAGAUAUAACGUAUGAAAAAUAUACAAGUAUGGUGCAUGUUGGAGGAAUAUUAGCUACUGCUCGUGAUCAUUUAUACUAUAUAAAUGCUCUAAAAAACGGAAGAAGUGAUUAAAAUAAUUAAUAAUAGAUAAUGAAGGUAUUCUGUAAUUGUCGAUGUAGAUGGAUACAUUAAUGCUGGUGGAUAGAUUUGAGAUAUAAAAGGAAAACAUAAAAUACUUGAUCCAAAGGCCGAAAACACCAGUGAUCAAACCUCCGAUGCAUCGUUCAAUGUUUAAUAGUUCUAUACGAAGGGAAUUCAAAUUAAACAAAGGUUGUCACCAAACAAUGGGCUAUGCUGAAGUUAAAGUCAAUGAGCCGUCUGAGUUUUUAAAGAAAAAAUCUAGAAAAGUUAUUAGACCAUUUGUCG